AGCCGAGCGGUGAGUACAAAGCGAACUAUUCUUUCGCCUUUUACUAAAGAAUACCGUGUCCUCGCCGUUAGCACCGGCUUACGCUUAUUUUUGGAGGGUCCUUUCCAUGGAAGU